rnacentral:rRNA from 1 species
UACGUAGGGCGCAAGCGUUGUCCGGAAUUAUUGGGCGUAAAGAGCUCGUAGGCGGCCAGUUGCGUCUGCUGUGAAAUCCCGGGGCUCAACCCCGGGCGUGCAGUGGAUACGGGCUGGCUAGAGGCAGGCAGGGGAGAACGGAAUUCCCGGUGUAGCGGUGAAAUGCGCAGAUAUCGGGAGGAACACCGGUGGCGAAGGCGAUUCUCUGGGCCUGUACUGACGCUGAGGAGCGAAAGCGUGGGGAGCGAACAGG